rnacentral:lncRNA from 1 species
GGCUGGGAGCCUCUGGCUCUCCCAUCCCUGGGGUGCGGCCGAAAGUGUGGGCAGAGCCGCGUCCUCUCGUUUGCCUUGGGGCUGCACCCAGGUGGCCUCCCCGCUGUCCUGCGUGGCGAGAAGCCGCCUCCCCGCGGGUGGAGCCCCACGCCUCGGCCAGCCGCGUGUGCUCGGGCUCCCCGCUGCCUGUGCUGCGGGGGGCAGGGACGAGGCGCCCUGCGGGACGGUAUCUCUGCCACGAAGGACAAGGGCAGCGGCUGGAGCCUUGCGGCGGGAGGACACCACGGCCGCGACCCCGGGCUGCUCCGUGGGCAUACCGGGGAGUCCCCCGCAGUUCGGGUGUCGGUACGCCGUGUGCUCUUCGGGAGAAGCCGUCCACGCAGUCAGGGCCAUGGGGCACCGGGGAAAACGGCCCGCGGGGCUGGAGCCGCAGCUGUACCGGGGCUGAUCGGGCGGGGAAGGGCUGGAGGGAGCGGGCGCCGCCUCCCGCACGGGCCGCCCCGUCCGUGCCGCAGGUGCGGCCGGCGCGGCUCCUUUAAGGCCCCGGCGCCGCCCUCCCCUGCCGGCUGCCCCCUCCCGCUGCCGGGAGGCGCCGGCCGGAGCCGCUGCAGGUACCGGGAGGGUCGUGGGAUCGGGCGGGGGCACCGAGGGUUCCUCCGCGGACGGGGGAGGACGGGGAUCCCUCGGCUGGAGGGGAGUCGGGGGGAGGCAGGGGUCCCUCGGUGGUCCGGGGGUCCAGCCGCGGUGUCCCGGGCAGGGGCAGUUGUCAGCCCCGGUGGCCGCGCUGCGAACGCGGUGCUCCCGGCCCCGGAUCCCACUUUUCCCGACAGAGAGGAGCCUGGGGUCCGCCCUGCCGCCCCCUCCUCCCCGAGGGACGCCGGAGCGCGGCUGCGGGGACGGGAAGGUCCCUGCCGCCGGUUCCGCCGAGCCGGGCGGGAGCGGGGAGCGGCUGCAGCCCCCGAGCAAGCGCUGCGGCUCCGUCCAGGCUGGAGCGGCCGCGGCCGCCCCGCUCCUGUGCCGCCGCCUGCGAGCCGGAUCCGGCCCUGCCACCCUGGUGCGCGUCCGCUCGCGGCGGCUCCUCGGGCUCGGGCAGCUCCGAGCCCCGUUCGUGGGAGGGGCGGCCCGGGGCGGCUCCUUCCUGCCGGGGCUGCCCGCGGCUGCUGCGCGUCAGCCCGGUCCCACGGAGCCGGCUGGGGUCACCGCGGCGGCGGGGCUGGCAGGCGGCCCGAGCCCAGCCCGGGGCAGGCGGUGGAGGCGGCGGGCGGGCCGGUGUCCUGGGUGCCGCCAGCCCCCGGCCCAGCCCCGGCAGCGGGCACGGGCACCUCGCGGGGCGCGACCCGCGCU